CAAUAAGCGGAGGAAAAGAAACCAACAGGGAUUGCCCCAGUAACGGCGAGUGAAGCGGCAACAGCUCAAAUUUGAAAUCUGGCCCCCCCUUGGGGGGUCCGAGUUGUAAUUUGGAGAGGAUGCUUUGGGCGCGGCGCCUUCCGAGUGCCUUGGAACAGGACGCCGGAGAGGGUGAGAGCCCCGUACGGUAGGACGCCUAGCCCGUGUAAAGCUCCUUCGAACGAGUCGAGUAGUUUGGGAAUGCUGCUCAAAAUGGGAGGUAAAUUUCUUCUAAAGCUAAAUACUGGCCAGAGACCGAUAGCGCACAAGUAGAGUGAUCGAAAGAUGAAAAGCACUUUGAAAAGAGGGUUAAACAGCACGUGAAAUUGUUGAAAGGGAAGCGCCUGUGGCCAGACGUGCGCCCCGCGGACCACCCGCCGCUCUGCGGCGGGGCACUCCGCGGCGGCGCAGGCCAGCAUCGGCUCUCCGAGGGGGACAAAGGUCGCGGGAACGUAGCUCUUUCGGGAGUGUUAUAGCCCGCGGCGCCAUGCCCCUGGGGGGGCCGAGG
rnacentral:rRNA from 1 species